rnacentral:lncRNA from 1 species
GUAGGGUCAGUACUAAUGCACGUGCUGGUAGGCAUCAUCGACCGGCCAGUGUUAGUUCACAUAAUCAUAAAAUAGAAUCAUAGAAAAGAAAUCAUGACAUCUUAAAUGGAAUAUGAUUCUACUAAGUUUGUAAUAGCAUUAUAACACUUUGUCUAUAAAAUUUCUAAAUUUUCCAAUUCUAUGAAUGCGAUUAUAUUCACAACUGCCAUAGUCUAGCCUUAUUAAUUCACACUAUCCACC